GAUGAACGCUGGCGGCGUGCUUAACACAUGCAAGUCGAACGGUGAAGCAGGAGCUUGCUCUUGUGGAUCAGUGGCGAACGGGUGAGUAACACGUGAGCAACCUGCCCCUGACUCUGGGAUAAGCGCUGGAAACGGCGUCUAAUACUGGAUAUGUGAUGUGACCGCAUGGUCUGCAUCUGGAAAGAAUUUCGGUUGGGGAUGGGCUCGCGGCCUAUCAGCUUGUUGGUGAGGUAAUGGCUCACCAAGGCGGCGACGGGUAGCCGGCCUGAGAGGGUGAACGGCCACGCUGGGACUGAGACACGGCCCAGACUCCUACGGGAGGCAGCAGUGGGGAUUAUUGCACAAUGGGCGGAAGCCUGAUGCAGCAACGCCGCGUGAGGGAUGACGGCCUUCGGGUUGUAAACCUCUUUUAGCAGGGAAGAAGCGAAAGUGACGGUACCUGCAGAAAGAGCACCGGCUAACUACGUGCCAGCCGCCGCCGCCG
rnacentral:rRNA from 1 species